GCCAGCAUGGCAGAGUGGUUUGAGUGUCAGACUACAACUCUGGAGACCAGGGUUCGAUUCCCCACUUGGCC